GUGUCAGCAGCCGCGGUAAUACAGAGGUCCCAAGCGUUGUUCGGAUUCACUGGGCGUAAAGGGUGCGUAGGUGGUCAGGUAAGUUUGAUGUGAAAUCUCGGAGCUUAACUCCGAAACUGCAUUGAAUACUAUCUGGCUUGAGGAUCGGAGGGGAGACUGGAAUUCUCGGUGUAGCAGUGAAAUGCGUAGAUAUCGAGAGGAACACCAGUGGCGAAGGCGAGUCUCUGGACGAUUCCUGACACUGAGGCACGAAAGCUAGGGGAGCAAACAGGAUUAGAUACCCUGGUAGUCCUAGCUGUAAACGGUGCGUAUUUGCUGUAAAAGGAAUCGACCCCUUUUGUGGCGGAGCUAACGCGUUAAAUACGCCGCCUGGGAAGUACGGUCGCAAGAUUAAA
rnacentral:rRNA from 1 species